rnacentral:rRNA from 1 species
GAGUUUGAUCCUGGCUCAGAUUGAACGCUGGCGGCAUGCCUUACACAUGCAAGUCGAACGGCAGCACGGGAGCAAUCCUGGUGGCGAGUGGCGAACGGGUGAGUCAUAUAUCGGAACGGGUCCAUGAGUGGGGGAUAGCCCGGCGAAUGCCGGAUUAAUACCGCAUAAGACCUGAUGGUGAAACCGGGGGAUCUUCGGACCUCCCGCUGAUG